CCCUUGUCCUGUGUUGCCACCAUGCCCUUCGGGGUGAUGGGGACUCACAGGAAACUGCCGGGGUCAACUCGGAGGAAGGUGGGGACGACGUCAAGUCAUCAUGCCCCUUAUGUCUUGGGCUGCACACGUGCUACAAUGGCCGGUACAAUGAGCUGCGAAGCCGUGAGGUGGAGCAAAUCUCAAAAAGCCGGUCUCAGUUCGGAUUGGGGUCUGCAACUCGACCCCAUGAAAUCGGAGUCGCUAGUAAUCGCAGAUCAGCAUUGCUGCGGUGAAUACGUUCCCGGGCCUUGUACACACCGCCCGUCACGUCACGAAAGUCGGUAACACCCGAAGCCGGUGGCCCAACCCUUGUGGAGGGAGCUGUCCAAAGUGGGACUGGCGA
rnacentral:rRNA from 1 species